CGAACGAAGCACAGAUGUAGAAUUUCUUCGGAAAGGAAGCGCCUGUGACUGAGUGGCGGACGGGUGAGUAACGCGUGGGCAACCUGCCCCAUACCCGGGGACAACAGCUGGAAACGGCUGCUAAUACCGCAUACGUUUUCGGUGCCGCAUGGCGCCGAAAAGAAAACUCCGGUGGUAUGGGAUGGGCCCGCGUCUGAUUAGCUAGUUGGGAGGGUAACGGCCUACCAAGGCGACGAUCAGUAGCCGGCCUGAGAGGGCGACCGGCCACAUUGGGACUGAGACACGGCCCAGACUCCUGCGGGAGGCAGCAGUGGGGAAUAUUGCACAAUGGGGGGAACCCUGAUGCAGCGACGCCGCGUGAGCGAAGAAGUACCUCGGUAUGUAAAGCUCUAUCAGCAGGGAAGAAAGUGACAGUACCUGACUAAGAAGCCCCGGCUAACUACGUGCCAGCAGCCGCGGUAAUACGUAGGGGGCAAGCGUUAUCCGGAUUCACUGGGCGUAAAGGGAGCGCAGGCGGCGCGGCAAGUCUGAUGUGAAAGCCCGGGGCUCAACCCCGGGUCUGCAUUGGAAACUGUCGAGCUGGAGUGUCGGAGGGGUAAGCGGAAUUCCUAGUGUAGCGGUGAAAUGCGU
rnacentral:rRNA from 1 species